CACGCCAAUUGAACGUAACAAUUAUUGAGGUAACAAUGAGUACCUGCGUUUUUUGCAAAACAAAGCAAUCAAAAUAUCGUGGGCGAUCAUUUCACAAGUGAGUAUACAACGCUGAAGCGUUCUGCAAAUGAUAACUUGCAGAGGUUAUGUCAGCAUACGAAAUUUCCCGUGAAAGAUGUGUUGCGCGUUCAGCAUUGGUUAGAAGAAAUGAAGAGGAAGGACUGGAAGCCAAACCGAAAUAGCACAUUGUGUUCAGCUCAUUUUACAAAUGAUUGCUUUGAUAGGACAGGAUUCCUAAUUACAUUGAAAAAGAACAGUGUACCAACUAUAUUUGACAACCCAAAAUCAGAGUGUUCAUCUUGUCACCGAUUAAAGGAAUAUGGACGUGGCUAUUCAUUCUUCAAGUUCCCAUUGGAUGAACCUGAUAUUAUGAAGCCAUGGAUCGCAAAUAUAAACAUUGGACCGUGGUCUCCAUCAAGUGAUAGCUUUCUGUGUUCCGACCACUUUGAACUCUCUUGCUUUCAGAAGAAAAGUAAAAAUUAUAUAACUUUACGAAAAGGCAGUAUCCCAACGUUAUUUGGUGAAAACUUGCAGCAGACCGAAUUUCAGGAUGAAUCCGAUCGGCCCACCACAGUGAAUGUAACCAAAUUACAUGAUCACCUACACAUUUGUACCUGAUUUGCAUGCUCAGCUCCACUUUGAUGAUCAAUGGAUGGUAAAUGGAUUCCCUAACGGUUGAAUUAGUGUUAUACAAAUUUUUGAAUAAUCCGUAUGGAAUUCAGCCCACCAUAGGAUAGAGGAUAAUGGACGGAAACUUCUUAGAAUUGAGGACUUCUUUUGAACAUCAAGAA
rnacentral:misc_RNA from 1 species